rnacentral:rRNA from 1 species
UACGAAGGGGGCUAGCGUUGCUCGGAAUCACUGGGCGUAAAGGGUGCGUAGGCGGUUCUUUAAGUCAGAGGUGAAAUCCUGGAGCUCAACUCCAGAACUGCCUUUGAUACUGAGGAUCUUGAGUACGGGAGAGGUGAGUGGAACUGCGAGUGUAGAGGUGAAAUUCGUAGAUAUUCGCAAGAACACCAGUGGCGAAGGCGGCUCACUGGCCCGUAACUGACGCUGAGGCACGAAAGCGUGGGGAGCAAACAGG